GACGAACGCUGGCGGCGCGCUUAAUACAUGCAAGUCGUGCGAGAACCGGAGCUUCGGCUCCGGGGACAGCGGCGAACGGGUGAGUAACACGUGGGUAACCUGCCCUCGGCACCGGGAUAGCCCGGGGAAACCCGGAUUAAUACCGGAUGGCCCUUUCGGUCUUCGGACCGGUCGGCAAAGGUAGCUUCGGCCUCCGGCCGAGGAUGGGCCCGCGGCGGAUUAGCUUGUUGGUGAGGUAACGGCUCACCAAGGCUCCGAUCCGUAGCUGGUCUGAGAGGACGAUCAGCCACACUGGGACUGAGACACGGCCCAGACUCCUACGGGAGGCAGCAGUAGGGAAUCUUGCGCAAUGGGCGAAAGCCUGACGCAGCGACGCCGCGUGCGGGAAGACGGCCUUCGGGUUGUAAACCGCUUUCAGGAGGGACGAAGCCACUCGGGUGAAUAGCCCAGAGGGUGACGGUACCUCCAGAAGAAGCCCCGGCUAACUACGUGCCAGCCGCCGCGGUAA
rnacentral:rRNA from 1 species